UUUUUUCUUUUCUUUUUUUUAAGAUUUAUUCAUAUGAGUACACUGUCCCUGUCUUCUGACACUGCAGAAGAGGGCAUCGGAUCCCGUUAGAGUUGGUUGUGAGCCACCAUGUGGUUGCUGGGAAUUGAACUCAGGAUCUCUAGAAGAGCAGUCGGUGCCAUUUCUCCAGCCACCCCAAUGUCUACUCUUCUGCUGUGUAGGGACGGUAAAGAAGUAGCUGCCCGAGAAGACUGGAGACUACUGCCACCAGAAGACGAACCCUUCAGAUGGAAAAAUAUCCGAAUCCGGCGACUGGCGGUGGCCCGCCUUUCCGACGGCCCACUCACCGGCCGAGUUUCUGACAGACACUUCACUUCAGCCACUCCCGUUGUGGAGUCUCUCACUGUCCCGCCCUCCACAGGCUAGUGUUAGUUCUGACCAAUAGGAGCACAGCACCCUCAGCGCAGCAACCAAUCAGCGUCUAGGGUCGCGUUCCGAGCAGGCGGAGCAGCCAGAGGGCAAGCUGCGCGGUGCCGCGCGGUGGGGGAGGUAAGAUGGCGCCGUGCCGGGCGCUUCUCCUUUGCUGUUAGGCGCUGCUCGCCUUCUCUGUCAGCUCAGCGCGGCACGUCGUCUCCUGCAGCGUUGGAGCCUCUCUGGUUGCUAGGCUUUCGGGGAGCCAGGUUCUCCGGUGCCGGGAGCCGUGGGACAAGAUGGCGCUUGUAGGACGACGGCCAAGGCGCUCGGGUCGGGGCUGUGAGCGCUGAGGCGGCCAGGGACAAAGGCGGCGAGCCGGGGCGUGGGGGCGGGGCGUGCCGCGCCGUUGCAGUGGUGCCGCGUGGGACAGGCGCCGCGCUUCCGGUCUGCUGCUGCGGAGAUUCGGCCAACGUGGUUUUGGCAUGAACAGGAUUCGGAUUCACGUCUUGCCAACGAAUCGGGGGAGGAUCACCCCAGUGCCCAGGUCGCAGGAGCCCCUUUCCUGUUCGUUCACUCACCGCCCGUGCUCUCAGCCGCGGCUGGAGGGGCAGGAGUUCUGCAUUAAGCACAUUCUUGAAGACAAGAAUGCACCCUUCAAACAAUGUAGUUACGUCUCGACGAAGAAUGGAAAAAGGUGCCCCAGUGCUGCCCCAAAGCCCGAGAAGAAAGAUGGGGUGUCUUUCUGUGCCGAACAUGCUCGAAGAAAUGCCCUAGCACUUCAUGCUCAAAUGAAGAAGAGCAACCCAGGCCCUAUGGGUGAAACCCUCUUGUGCCAGUUGAGCUCAUACGCUAAAACAGAGCUGGGCUCGCAGACCCCAGAGAGCAGCCGCAGUGAAGCCAGCCGGAUACUGGAUGAAGACAGCUGGAGUGAUGGGGACCAGGAACCCAUCACUGUGGAUCAGACAUGGAGAGGUGACCCUGACAGUGAAGCCGAUAGCAUAGACAGUGAUCAAGAAGAUCCCCUGAAACAUGCUGGUGUCUAUACAGCUGAAGAAGUGGCUCUUAUUAUGAGAGAAAAGCUAAUUCGUUUGCAGUCUUUGUACAUUGAUCAGUUUAAAAGACUCCAACACCUGCUCAAAGAGAAGAAGCGCCGCUAUUUACACAACCGGAAAGUGGAGCACGAGGCUUUAGGUAGUAGUCUCCUGACUGGCCCUGAGGGACUUUUGGCCAAAGAGAGAGAGAAUUUAAAGCGACUAAAAUGUCUUAGGCGAUACCGUCAACGCUAUGGAGUAGAAGCCUUACUACACAGGCAGCUGAAGGAACGCAGAAUGCUGGCCACCGAUGGGGCUGCUCAACAGGCUCACACCACUCGUUCCAGUCAGAGGUGCUUAGCCUUUGUGGAUGAUGUGCGCUGCUCCAAUCAGUCUCUCCCAAUGACCAGACACUGCCUUACCCAUAUCUGUCAGGAUACAAAUCAGGUUCUCUUCAAAUGCUGCCAGGGAUCUGAAGAGGUCCCCUGCAACAAACCAGUUCCUGUAAGCCUUUCUGAGGAUCCCUGCUGCCCUCUGCAUUUCCAGUUGCCUCCUCAGAUGUAUAAGCCCGAGCAGGUACUGUCUGUGCCAGACGAUCUGGAAGCCGGCCCCAUGGAUCUGUACUUGAGUGCUGCCGAGCUUCAGCCCACUGAGAGUUUACCACUGGAGUUCAGUGAUGUAAGUUAGAGAAGCUCUGCUCUGAUUGGCCCUUGACAGAAGGCCCUGUUUACUAGUGGUGAGAAUAGUUAGCUGUUUUCAGCCUAGAGGGUGAUGUGAUUCUAACGCAUUGACUGUGCCUGUUUAUCCAUCUAUCUACACUCUGUGCUCUACCUUUCUCCUCCCCAGACUUUUUGUUCUGAGACAAAACCUAAUUCUGUAGCCUGAGUUGAACGUGAACUCGUGAUCCAUAUCUCAUAAGUGUUGGUGUUAGAGACAUGAACCCCCAUGCCUGGCCUCCUUUGUUUCUCAGGGAUGGGAUUCGUAGAGCACAACUUGGAAGUGAUUUUUUUUUUUUUUAUCAAGGUGUUUAUAUGCAGCACCUAUCAUUACUGAGGAUGUUGGUACCAUACUUUCUAAUGAGAUGAGUAAAAAACAUGAUUUGUAUUUGUUUUGGUGGUUUUUAAACAUCUUCUGGUGGAUAAGCAGUUUUGCUGACCCUUUUUAAAAAGUUUUAUUUUUGACAGAUUUUAUUACAAAAUUUAUUGAGUUUUCAGACUUUAUGUGGUUCAAUUCUAAUUUAGUGUUUUUGAUGCUGUUAUGAAUGGGGUCUGAGCAUUUCUUUUUUUAUGAGUGGGGUCUGAGCAUUUUUUUAUGAGUGGGGUCUGAGCAUUUCUUUUUUUAUGAGUGGGGUCUGAGCAUUUCUUUACUUGCUUGCUUCCUGAAACCCAGCUUGUACCACGACUUUAAAAAGCUGGCAUUUGAUGCCUUUUUUUCUUUUUUAAAAGUUUGUUUUAUAAAUGUGUGUGUUUUGUUGUAUGUAUAUAUGUAUGUAUGUAUCCAUGUAUGUAUGUAUGUGCACCCUAUGUGUGCCUGGCAUCAGAGGUCAGAAGAGGUUAGAUCUCCUGGGACUGAAGUUAUAGCCAGUUGUGAGCCACCAUGUAGAUGCUGGGAAUUGAACCUGGAUCCUCUGCAGGAUUAACACGUGUUUCUCUCCGUGAGCUCUUUUGGGAGGUACUUGAUGGAGCAAAUGAUGUGUACUAUGAAUCCCAUCUCGAGAAACGGCCUGCGCUUAAAACCUCUGUAGUCACUGCUUCCAGGGGAUGAGGUCCCUGGAAGGCUGUGUCCUGUACAAACCUACUUUUCCCCUGCUGUUUGGAGAGAGAUGAUGCCAGUCUCCUUUUGCUCUGGGAGUCUGGCAGCUUAGGAUAUAGUCUGUAAAUCUCUUAGCUAUGAAUUUGGAGUAAUUAUUUUAAGGCCAAACUGGCCUAACAUUUUAAGCACUUUCCUAUAUGGCUUUAGAGAGUUUGACUGCUCAGUGAUGGGGAAGCUUAGCGUUAGCGUCGCCCUUUCCAUAGGGCAGAGCUGGGUAUUGGGGGUUUCUUUUCCAGUUUACGGUGAUAGUGCCCAGAGUGGGUUUCCUACCUGCACUUACCUCUUUACCUUUGCUUUUCCUUCCCACUCAAAAUAGACAUUUUCUAGUUGCCCAGUGGACAAGAUUCUCUUGACCACUCAGUCCUGGCAUUCUCACAAAUAGACGUUGUUUAUAUAAUGUACCUGUGGGUAGAAAGAGCUGGCACCAACCCCAAGCUUUAAAAAGAAAAAUUGCAGGAAACAAAGUGAGCACUGUCUUGGUGGUGUGCGCGUGGGCUUCUGUGGGCCGAGAGCUGUGUCCAGUGGACGUCUGUAGUGGAUAGUGGGCAAUGUGGCUGUCUCUUUCCUCCUGCUUGCACUGAGCAGUUUGUUUACUUGCUGUUGUUUUUAAAGGCAUUUUAAAGAAAGGAUACAUUACAUAUCCCUUGAACUCUCAGAGAUCUGCCUGCCUCUGCCUCCCUCCAGAGUGCUGGGUUUAAAGAAUACUUGAACUAUGUUAAGUGUAAGACUCAGAGGCUUAGCCCGGCCAGGUGGCACAGGCCUUUAAUCCCAGCUCCUGGGAGGCUGAAGCAGAGCAUCCUAAGGUCAAGUCUUGCCUGGGCCACAGGGACUUGGAUGUUGUGGGUGAUGGCAUGCCAUGCCCGCCGUCGCCAUUGCUCUUUGAUCCUUCGCUAACUCUUGAAGAUCAUUCAGUCACAGAAAGUGCCGGAGACGCAGGACAGAUGCAGGCGGCUGGGGAUGGGUGCAGAUCCCAGGGAGCUCGAAGUGUAGAGAAAGCAGCAUUCCCUCAGCGUGGAUUGGCUACUGCGAAUGGAAAACCAGAACCCACUUCUAUCAGUUGACAUUCAUUCUGGGAAUUGUUUGCCUUUGGAUUUGAACUUUCCAUUCUUCAGACAAGUGUAUCUCUGAUCAUCUCUCCCUGAACAGGGACAACUCAGACCACAUUGCUUCCUUUGGGGCUUUAGAGCGCUAUAGACAAACAUAAUCCAAGUUUGUGUGGAAUGAAUAUUUAGUAUAUAAGUUUUGGGAUUUUUUUUUUUUUCAAGGAAGAAUGUGAGGUGAUCCCUGCCUUUGGGAUACAAUGCAUAUUGGAGACUGCCUGGGAGAGAGACAUUCUGUAAUGGGACUCCUAAGCCACGGACAGAACCCCACAUGGAUGUCCAGGCGGGCUGUGCUCGAGACGGUGCUCGGCAGGCGUUGGCCCUUAGUGUCUGGCUAGCUGUAUCUAAAGGCCUGUAUCUAAGCCUUUCCUCUGCUCUACAUAGUUGGGCAAUACAAAGCCCAUUCGUUUCCUUGUGAACUGUAACUGAGAAAAGCAGCUCACAGGUCUGGGCUCUCCUUACUUAGUUAUUCUUGCUUUUAACUUAUGUAAGUUCCUGUGGUGACUCCAUGUAAUAUGUAGUGAAAUUACUGUAUAUAGUUUCUAUUAAAUGUUAAAAUGCUAUCAAAGUGUAAA